rnacentral:hammerhead_ribozyme from 1 species
GUAAACUGACGAGUCCCAAAUAGGACGAAACGCGCGUUCUGGAU